AAUAUUACUCCGCGUAGGUGCUCGGUCAACGGUCAGUUUAAUUUGAAUAUCUGUCGGAUUUUGUUCCUUUAUAUAGUGUUUUCUGUUUUAUCUUUAUUGUUUAUUCAUAUAGAGUCAGUGCAUUAAUUAAUAUUAAAUCCCAGUGAUGAUAAAAGUGAAUUUACUAGAGUCGAGUUCAAUCUAGUGUGAAGUGUGAGUGUUGGAUACAAGGAUACAACAGUUGAGGUUAUUUGGCCGGCUUUGAUUUUACACAUCAGGAGGUGUGAGGUGAACACAUUUAGCAACGCAUCGAAUGGAGCUUGGUAGACUAUACUGAUUCACUCCUGUCAUGGACCACAGCUUUCAAGUAUGGCACUUGACAGGUAUGGACCAAAUUUUUGGAGGAGAUACAUAAGACGAGUUCUGCAAUAUAAUGAAGAAGCCUAUGAUGUUGGCAUCAUGAUUUUAUGAUUGAUCUCCUAAGUUGUUAACUUAUCUUAUGGACGGACAACAUAUUUCA